UGCCAGCCUCCUCGGUAAUACGGCGUGUGCAAGCGUGGUUCGGAAUUAUUGGGCGUAAAGCGCGUGUAGGCGGUUCGUUCAGUCUGAUGUGAAAGCCCGGGGCUCAACCUCGGAAUAGCAUUUGAAACUGGUCAUCUAGAGUACUGUAGAGGGGGGUAGAAUUUCAGGUGUAGCGGUGAAAUGCGUAGAUAUGUGGAAGAACACCCGUGGCGAAGGCGGUUUUCUAGCUUAUUCCUGACGCUGAGGCGCGAGAGCAAGGGGAGCAAACAGGAUUAGAUA
rnacentral:rRNA from 1 species